UGCCAGCCGCCGCGGUAAUACGGAGGGCGCAAACGUUACUCGGAAUCACUGGGCGUAAAGAGCGUGUAGGCGGGUUAAUAAGUUUGAAGUGAAAUCCAAUGGCUCAACCAUUGAACUGCUUUGAAAACUGUUAACCUAGAAUAUGGGAGAGGUAGAUGGAAUUUCUGGUGUAGGGGUAAAAUCCGUAGAGAUCAGAAGGAACACCGGUGGCGAAGGCGACUUCCUGGACUAUUACUGACACUGAGGUGCGAAAGCGUGGGGAGCAAACAGGAUUAGAUA
rnacentral:rRNA from 1 species